rnacentral:rRNA from 1 species
AAAUCCGGACCGCUAUUAACGCUGAGAUACGAUGUCGAGCUACUACGGUAGUGAAGUCAUUGAUGCCAUGCUUCCAGGAAAAGCCUCUAAGCUUCAGAUUGUAAGGAAUCGUACCCCAAACCGACACAGGUGGUCGGGUAGAGAAUACCAAGGCGCUUGAGAGAACUCGGGUGAAGGAACUAGGCAAAAUGGUACCGUAACUUCGGGAGAAGGUACGCUCUUAUCAGUGAAGUCCCUUGCGGAUGGAGCAGACGAGAGUCGCAGAUACCAGGUGGCUGCAACUGUUUAUUAAAAACACAGCACUGUGCAAAAUCGUAAGAUGACGUAUACGGUGUGACGCCUGCCCGGUGCCGGAAGGUUAAUUGAUGGGGUUAGACUUCGGUCGAAGCUCUUGAUCGAAGCCCCGGUAAACGGCGGCCGUAACUAUAACGGUCCUAAGGUAGCGAAAUUCCUUGUCGGGUAAGUUCCGACCUGCACGAAUGGCGUAAUGAUGGCCACGCUGUCUCCACCCGAGACUCAGUGAAAUUGAAAUCGCUGUGAAGAUGCAGUGUACCCGCGGCUAGACGGAAAGACCCCGUGAACCUUUACUACAGCUUGGCACUGAACAUUGAACCUACAUGUGUAGGAUAGGUGGGAGACUUUGAAACCGCGUCGCUAGAUGUGGUGGAGUCGUCCUUGAAAUACCACCCUUGUAGUUUUGAUGUUCUAACGUUGGUCCCUGAAUCGGGAUUACGGACAGUGCCUGGUGGGUAGUUUGACUGGGGCGGUCUCCUCCCAAAGAGUAACGGAGGAGCACGAAGGUGGGCUAAACACGGUUGGACAUCGUGUGGUUAGUGCAAUGGCAUAAGCCCGCUUGACUGCGAGAAUGACAAUUCGAGCAGGUGCGAAAGCAGGUCAUAGUGAUCCGGUGGUUCUGAAUGGAAGGGCCAUCGCUCAACGGAUAAAAGGUACUCCGGGGAUAACAGGCUGAUACCGCCCAAGAGUUCAUAUCGACGGCGGUGUUUGGCACCUCGAUGUCGGCUCAUCACAUCCUGGGGCUGAAGUCGGUCCCAAGGGUAUGGCUGUUCGCCAUUUAAAGUGGUACGCGAGCUGGGUUUAGAACGUCGUGAGACAGUUCGGUCCCUAUCUGCCGUGGGCGUUGGAAAAUUGAAAGGGGCUGCUCCUAGUACGAGAGGACCGGAGUGGACGAACCUCUGGUGUUCGGGUUGUCAUGCCAAUGGCAUUGCCCGGUAGCUAAGUUCGGAAUCGAUAACCGCUGAAAGCAUCUAAGCGGGAAGCGAGCCUUGAGAUGAGUUUUCCCUGGCGCUAUAAGCGUCCUAAAGGGUUGUCGUAGACUACGACGUUGAUAGGCAGGGUGUGUAAGUGCUGCGAGGCAUUGAGCUAACCUGUACUAAUUGCCCGUGAGGCUUAACC